CCUACGGUGGGCAGCAGUGAGGAAUAUUGGUCAAUGGGCGCGAGCCUGAACCAGCCAAGUAGCGUGAAGGAUGACUGCCCUACGGGUUGUAAACUUCUUUUAUAAAGGAAUAAAGUGAGGCACGUGUGCCUUUUUGUAUGUACUUUAUGAAUAAGGAUCGGCUAACUCCGUGCCAGCAACCGCGGUAAUACGGAGGAUCCGAGCGUUAUCCGGAUUUAUUGGGUUUAAAGGGAGCGUAGAUGGGUUGUUAAGUCAGUUGUGAAAGUUUGCGGCUCAAACGUAAAAUUGCAAUUGAUACUGGCAGUCUUGAGGACAGUUGAGGUAGGCGGAAUUCGUGGUGUAGCGGGGAAAUGCUUAGAUAUCACGAAGAAAUCCGAUUGCGAAGGCAGCUUACUAAACUGCCACCGAAAUUGAUGCUCGAAAGUGUGGGUAUCAAACAGGAUUAGAUACCCGGGUAGUC
rnacentral:rRNA from 1 species